CCCUGAUAAUAACAACACCAAUGCCUAUAGUAUUACCAAAUCUGCGAGUUUUUUAAAAGGCGGCAACGACCAGUAACACGGAGUGUUCAGUAUAGAACAUGAAGAGUUCGAAUUCACAUUGUGAAACCUUCUUCGACAUGCAAAAGGAAACCAUAACACAAGCGUUUGUUUACGAUACAUAAAAAGCCCACUCAAUGAAUGGAAUUAAUGAAGGCCAUGCCAUUUGGAUACAAUUUAAUUUGAUUUGCAC